ACGCCGGGGAAGGUCUGCGACUGGCUCAAGAAGAGGCUCAUCGACGCGAGGACCGUGAAGGUGCUCGUGAUGG
rnacentral:ribozyme from 1 species